GUUCAUCCCGCCUGACACUUUUCUCAAACCUCAUUGAAUGAAGGUGAGCAAAGUCUCAGGUGUGGCGGAUC
rnacentral:pre_miRNA from 2 species